CGUAUUACUGCUUCAAAUUCAUUUUGCUAGUACAAGGGGAGUCUUAAAUAUGUUCCAGAAUGAGAUAUUCCAAUAGAGUGGAACUCGAUGUUGAACCAGCUUGACCAACUCGGAUUUGAUGGUUUGGAGGUUCACAUACUUCUUAGACAUUGUUUAUCGCUACUUCCUUUACUUGGACAUCUUUCUAGUUUUGAUCUGACAUUUAUUUUUAAGUGUUUGUAAAUGGAUCAAGAGGGAAAGUAUAACAGGUAAGUUACAAGUUAAUAGUGUACUUGCUCCUACACUCUUUGCAAGUUCUAUUGAGUAAAAAAUAGCCAAAGUUUGAUGAGAGCUGCCUUUUGUUUUAAUAUAGUAAUUUGGACCAAUAUUUUAGUAAGAAAUUCUAAUUUUUCUUCAUACUGAAAUGCUGAUGUGUUGUGUUAUAAA